AGAAGCUUAAGUUAACUAGACUAUAGGCCUUCAAAGCCUAAAAUGAGGUUCAACACCACCUCAGCUUCUG
rnacentral:tRNA from 1 species